CUUGUUUAUAAAUAAACUUAUCUAAAAUAAUUCAAAAUAAUUGAAAAACAACACCCUUGUCAUAAUUCAACCCUAUUUCAGCACGGGAAGGGGAUAAGUCCAUAUUUUCAUAUCAUUUAAAAAAAUGGGGAGGUGGUACUCAUUUUUAAUUUCUCAAGAAAAUUUCAAGACCACCUUAAUAUAUAUAUAUACAAAUUAAAUUAAUAGACAAUAUUUGAAAUU